rnacentral:rRNA from 1 species
AUUGAACGCUGGCGGCAUGCCUUACACAUGCAAGUCGAACGAAGCGGCGAGACAGAAGUUUUCGGAUGGAAGCCUCGCAGCUUAGUGGCGGACGGGUGAGUAACGCGUGGAUAACCUGCCUCACACUGGGGGAUAACAGCUGGAAACGGCUGCUAAUACCGCAUAAGACCACAGCACUGCAUGGUGCAGUGGUAAAAACUCCGGUGGUGUGAGAUGGAUCCGCGUCUGAUUAGCUGGUUGGCGGGGUAAAGGCCCACCAAGGCGACGAUCAGUAGCCGACCUGAGAGGGUGACCGGCCACAUUGGGACUGAGACACGGCCCAAACUCCUACGGGAGGCAGCAGUGGGGAAUAUUGCACAAUGGGCGAGAGCCUGAUGCAGCGACGCCGCGUGAGUGAAGAAGUAUUUCGGUAUGUAAAGCUCUAUCAGCAGGGAAGAAGAUGGCGGUACCUGACUAAGAAGCCCCGGCUAACUACGUGCCAGCCGCCGCAGUAAGAC